rnacentral:lncRNA from 1 species
ACAGCCUGUGCACAACAGUUGAACAAUGCAGAUUAGGUGAACCUCCUGUCCUUAUAAUAUGCUAAUUAGUGCAUUCCUGUCUCCUGCAGAAGUUCUGGCUAUGUAGUGAUGAAUAAGAACUUUAAGCACACAUGACACCUCGUUAAAAUGUAAUUUUCACAUCAUAUAUUUGAGCCCUUUACCUUGACAGCUGAGCAAUUGUGAAUGCUGGCCAGAGAAUCCUGAACAUUUUGAAAACGCCACUUGUUUGUUAGUUUGCUGAAUCUGCUUGUUGAAUGGCUAACUUAUAGGUGGUGCUCCUGAGAUGGGGAAACAGUGGGAAAGGACUGAUAUCUUAAGUCAGGCUGCUCAUGGGAUGGCAGGUUACAGUCACUACUGGGCUCCACUUGAGAUCCCUUGCUGUUUCCAAAGUUUGGUUUGCCUCCAUCUUUGUAGCUGAGUGAAAUUUGCAAAACAGAAACAACCGUUUCACCACUUGUUGCUAAUCUUGGUCCCAGCUGGAGUUUUUGUUCCUCAGCUGUUUCGCUGUGUGGGAGAGCUCCCUCCCAUUCUUCCCGUGCUUCUUCUUUGCUUGUGGGGACAGCUGCUGCUGAUUGACACUGCUGAUGCUGCUGUUUCCAGGAAGCACAGGGAGAACUUAACAAAAUCUCCCAACUCCAAGUCAAACGAAUUAAUUUUCUCCCACAUUUUUUUUUAACCUCUCCUGUAUUUUUCUCUCAUCUUACUAAGGGUUAAGAUUUCCAGAAUGACAUCAUCUACUCUUCAGCCUCUGAAUAUAAAAACUACAGUCCUGUUCAAAGCAAAACCGACCCUCCUUUUGUACAGCUGAGCCCAGUGUUUCUUAAGAAUCUGACAUCCGAAUGACCUUCCUAGUAGAUGUGCUAGUGAUAGAAAAAGGGGUCAUAGAUACAGGGUUUCUUUCUUUUUUUUUCCCUACAAAGCGAUGCCGCUAAUAAAUGAAUACCUAUUAGAAGAUAAUCAAAAUUAUUUCUGCACUUAACAUUCAGGGGCAUAUGAAGAUGAUGUCUUUGUGAAUGAGGAUUCUCACGCUCUCCAGCUGUCUUGAGAGGCUGUUGCACUGCUCGUUAGCAUGUCCACCAGAGGGCAGACAGGUGGAACUGAAAUAAUUCUGCAGCUCCUUAGGAGCCCUCCUGGAAUGUUUGGCAACAGUAGCAAGAAUGUUAUUAUUGAAUAUGGGGGUGGGGAGGCUGCUUCAGUUGGACUCCUAUCCUUCAGUCCAUACUAGGACAGAGAAAAGAGAUUCAGCUGAAAUUAUAUUAGCUGCUAAAAUAGCUACGUGUUUAAUGUCUGAUUUUAAACCUUUGAAGUAGUGGCCAAGUACCAUAGAUAACAGCUCACAAGCAUGGGUUUUAAGUACAAAUCUACUUCUUUCUCAGUAGAAGUCUAUUCCACAAGAAAUCAAAAGGCUCCAAUAAUUUUGAUAAAUGAUGUAACUCAAGAUACAUAAAUGAUAGAUUAAAAAUCUAUAUUAAUGUCUGUUUGUAUAGGCUGUGGCUUGUUAUUUUAUUAGAUCCCUCCGAAAGCAAAUGGAGAGCAUUUCUGUACAUUUGCUUUGGAAGAGCUGGGUGUCUCUUCAUGAUCUUUAUACAACAGUACAGAUUCACAUAUCCUAUGAAUCUAUAACUAUUGCUGAAGAUACAAAUCAAAAUUAUUUUGUACUUCUUUUUCUGCACAGUGUACUUCAUGAGUUAAUUUUUUUUUAGCUGUAAAACUCAAGCCUUUAAAAAUAAUUUUAGGGGCUGGAGAGAUUGCCCAAUAGGUAAGAGCAUUGACUGCUCUUCCACAGGUCCUGAGUUCAAUCCCCAGCAACCACAUUGUGACUCACAACCAUCUGUAAUGGGAUCUGAUGCCCUCUUCUGGUGAGUCUAAAGGGAGUGACAUUGUACGCACAUUAAAAAAAAAGUCUCUAUAAGAUAAUGAUGAUGAUGAUGAUGCAGAGAAACAUCUUAUCCACAUGUAAAUGUAAGAAAAUAGCUGUAUUUACAGUCCUUGUCACUCUGGCAAGCUUAGCUUUGUCAUGUUGUCCCCAUGCUUUAGAAUAAUGAAGAAGUCAUAGGAAGAUGCAAGGUGAAAGGAAGGGGUGAAGUCAAAGUGAACAGAGUGAGAAAAUCUGUGCCAAACUUAAUGUAGAGUGAAGACCAGCAAACUUGUCUAGUGUUUUAGAACACCCACCAACCCAACUGUGCUAGUUUUCGCAUACCUUAUCCUUAAAAUCCUAGAAAGUCAGCAGUCCCCAGAAACUCAGUUUAUAAACGUAGAUGUGAACCAAAGAAGCUAAAUUUGGAAUUCUAAACAUGUGAUACUUUCAUAUUUCCAUCUCAAGAAAUUAUCCACAGCACACAGCCUAAAUGAGAAUCCGAUAGUGUGGUCUCUGCGAUGGGGUACCUUGGUGUGGUAACUUCUUGGAAAUACUUGAAGAUGCAGAUUUAAUUACUGGAGGAUUAGAAGGAUUAGUUGGAAACUUUGCAGAGAUUUGGAGCAAUUGUAAGGACUUUGGAGAUUGGAGAACUAGAUCGUUGCUGCCUUUAAAUCUCCUUAGCUGGUUCUCUCCAUUUUCUGAAACCACACAUGAUGCUACCUAUAUUCUCAUGCUCAUUAUCUUUGGGCAGCAUUGGCAAAAUGAUGAAAGUUAGGAUGAAGAAAAGAGAUAAAAAAAGAGAGAAAUACAAAGGAAAUAAGUGUGCUUUCCCUUUGAUGAACAAAUGGAACAUUGAAUGAAUGAGGUCUGUUUCCUUAAGGAGUAAUGAGCUACCAUAUAUAUUUCAUUGUUAAAAUAUUACAUCUGAAGGUUGAUUGAACUAGCCUCCAGAGAUUAAUAAUAUGAAACAUGACAGAAUGUGGGAUGCUUAUACAUUUAUAAUUGGAAUAUUAAGUAUGUAAACCAUUUCUGAGAACAACUUAACUGUUGUUACAUAGGAUAAUGAAAACUUUUUUUUUUCUGAUGGGGACUUCAUAACCAAAGAUAUGUUAAUGAGAAAGAAGUAUAUAAAUAUGUGCACUUAGUUUAUUUAUUAUGG